UACGGAGGGUGCAAGCGUUAAUCGGAAUUACUGGGCGUAAAGCGCGCGUAGGCGGCUACAUAAGUUGGAGGUGAAAGCCCCGGGCUCAACCUGGGAACUGCUUUCAAAACUGUGUAGCUAGAGUGCAGCAGAGGAUAGUGGAAUUUCUAGUGUAGCGGUGAAAUGCGUAGAUAUUAGAAGGAACACCAGUGGCGAAGGCGACUGUCUGGGCUGACACUGACGCUGAGGUGCGAAAGCGUGGGGAGCAAACAGG
rnacentral:rRNA from 1 species